rnacentral:lncRNA from 1 species
UAGAGUCAGGGCGACCAGAACAAGUCAGUGCUCGACCAGUUCAACGCCCGCCAGUUCAUCUCUUGGCUCCAGGACCUGGAUGACAAGUAUGACUGCAGGAAGACCUUCCUCCUCAUGCGGCAGCAGCACGAGGCUGCGGCCCUGAACGCUGUGCAGAGGAUGGAGUGGCAGCUGAAGGUGCAGGAGCUGGACCCCGCCGGGCACAAGUCCCUGUGCGUGCCCUCCUGCUAAGUGCUCAUGGUCGACGUCAACUACGACUUUGUGUUGUUGACAGCGUGA